AGGCAUCUUCAAGUUGCUCUUGAGUUCAUUAUUUUUAAUGACAGAAAAGUGCUAGUACUUGAGGUAAUUUCUUUUUUCUUCUUCUGCGUUUUCUUUGCUUGCUCGUUUUUUUUCCUCUUUUAUUUUGCAGGUCAAAUGAAAAGGAUUUGUUCUUGUUCAACAAGCUGAUCCACGCAUGAAGAAGACAAUCUUGAGGUGUGAGGGGAUGAGUACUCAUCCUUGCCAGAAUAUUGGAGAGAUUACUCUCAUGGCCCGACUACCGAAGAAAUUACUCUCAAUGUGGCCAGGUUACUGGAGAGAUAUGGCCUGAUUACCGGAGAGAUUACUCUCAAUGUGGCCCGACUACCGGCGAGAUUACUCUUAAAAUGGCUGGACUACUGGAGUGAUUACUCUCAAUAUGGCCCGACGACCAGAGAGAUUACUCUCAAUGUAGCCCGACUAUUGGAGAGAUUACUCUCAAUGUGGUCCGACUACCGGAGAGAUUACUCUCAAUGUGGCUCGACUAUCGGCGAGGCCAACUUUAGGUGCAAAGAGACUCAUACGUCCACCUUAAGAUUGGAAAGUUAUAGUUCAUGUUAAGGACAAACCCGCGAAGAGGCCAACUUAAGGUGCAAAGGGGCUUAUGUGUCACCUUGAGAUUUGAAAGUUAUAGUUCCUUUUAACGACAAACCCGCGAAGAGGCCAACUUAAGGUGCAAAGGGACUCAUAUGUCCACCUUAAUAUUGGAAAGUUAUAGUUCCUUUUAAGGACAAACCAGCGAAGAGGCCAACUUAAGGUGCAAAGGCACUUAUAUGACCACCUUAAGAUUAGAAAGUUAUAAAGCUUCAACUCGAAGACGGCAUCGACUUCAACACUUGGAAAACUUUGAAGAUUUGGCGAACUUUGCAGACUUCAACUCGAAGAUUCAGAGGGCUUGAACAAUUCAACUUUAGGAUCGGCGAAUUUGAAGACUGAAACUUGAAUACUUCAACUUGGAGGGCUUAAAUAUUUCAACUUUAAGACCGGCGAAUUUGAAGACUGAAACUUCAAGACCAACGAACUUUAAGACUUCAACUUUGAGACUUGGAGGGCUUAAAUAUUUCAGCUUCUUUUUUGCUUUACAUUGUCCGACUUUUAUCUUAGUCGCAUAAUUUUCAGCUUUACGCGCUUGUAACAAAAGAUUCAUAUGUUGUUGUGGGAGAGUCCAAAUAAUGAAC
rnacentral:lncRNA from 1 species